CAGGAUGUAGCUCUCAGCUAGUCCUCCAGUAUCCUGUCUUCCCGCCUGCUGCCAUGCUCUCUGAGGAGAUGAUAAUGGAUUAAGCCUUUGAAACUGGAAGGAAGAAACUGAGGUCUACAAGUGUGAUGAGAGUCACACUCCGUCAUGACAGGAAGAGGGAAACAAGCUGCAUGUCCUCCGGGAAGGGAUUGACGGUGACCACACUACUCAUAAAGCAAAGAGGGAAGCAGUAGCCACACCCACUGGGAAGAGAACGGCCAAUCCAUCGUAACAACUCCAUUCUGCGAGUAGGAGCGCACUUCACUAAGAAAAACAUGCAUGUCACAUAAAGGGAUCCUGAGACCCAGGAGCCAGCCAUGGCCACAUGCCACUCAGCCAUCAGAAGUGCAGGGAGCUGGUGUCCCUUGCUUUAGAGCUUUGUGAUAUCACUAUUCUGUCCCACUUUGUGGCUGUGUUCUUCCUGGGAGUUCCCAGUCAAAGGCUGAAGGUGGCUGGCAUACGAACAUCUAGCGAUUUCUUCCCAAGGAGGCAAGCACUCCUACAUAAGGCCAGGUUGACUCUGGACUCCACCAGGCUGUGGGCAAUCUGUGUGAUACUUUUCUCACACAAUCCUCCUCUCAUGGAUGUCAUUUAGUUAACCUCUCUCUCUCUCUCUCUCUCUCUCUCUCUCUCUCUCUCUCUCUCUCUCUCUCUCUCUCUGCCUCUCUCCUCUGUCUCUGACUCUGUGUCUCUGUCUCUGUCUUCUUCCCAGAGGUGAGCAAACCAACACUCAAUGAUGACUGAAAAUAGCAAGGCACAGGUAACACAGACACUAUGAUGCCUUUAUGCAAAUCACAAAACAGACACCAACAUGAAGUUUUUAGGGUAGAGAAAGGAAAAGAAAAACUUAAGUGAGGUACAGGGUGGAGGAGAGGUAAAGAAGGGAAGGGGGAGGGGGACAGAGGAGGAGAAAAAGGGGAGGUGAUGAGCUCACCAAUCUAGGGAACACUUGUUCCCCCCACACACUUAUAUGCACGGUAGGAAUGUGUUGGAAGUUCUGGAAAAGCCCUCCGGUGGACACAGCUAUUUCCCAAGCAGGGAAGGCUCUGCAAUGGCAUGCAUGGGACUGUAAUUCUUUGCUUCUAUUCCAUCUUCAUAAGGAGAAUGCAAUUGGGUGUUGCUUAUAUCACUAAGAAUUUUAAAACCACACACCUGUUACUAGAAAUCCAGGUCUCCUGGACCAUGACUGAGUUGAUGCCAAGACGAUCCCAGAGUCUCUGCUUGAGUUGUGUUCAAGAAGAAUCUGCCAGCCAGUCUGCUCUCAUCCCCUGCUUCCGUUGGACUUGACAGCCGCAACUUGAUUCCUCAGGAAGGUGUCCAGAAAGGUCUAUGGUGUGUUUUAAAUUGCUCUACUAGUCCCCUGACCACACAGGGCAGAGCCGCUAUAACUCCCCAGCAAAGAACCCUCAGCACUUGUAAAUCUCCCCACCCACAGGAGUGCGCCCAGACUGCUUCUGGGUGAUGCUAAAUCUACAGUCGUGCAGGAGAAAGCAGCACUGGUCGUGGCUAUGGCCGCUUUCCCUCUGAAGUUCUCAGGGUCUGCUGCUCCUCCUUCCCGCUCUUGCCCCCUUCCUUCCUCCCUGUCUCUUCCUUCCUCUCCCUCUCCUUGACUCCCAACCUCUUCGUCCCCUCCCUCAGCGUCCCUCCCCAAUACUCAAGGGGAGGCUCGGUAGAAGGGGAGCCCCAGGCACAGCUGCACGAGGCUAGAUGCUCCCUCUUUGGGCUGCUGGCUAGUUUCUCUUCUGCGGUUUCGCACUGGCCCUGGGAGGUUGAUGUCGGGGUCUGCCGUCUUGAUUGAUCUGAACACCUUUCCGUAGUACGCACGCGCGCACACACACACACACACACACACACACACACACACACACAGAGGUGUGCUAUGUCAACAAAAAAUGACACCUGAGGCCAAGAGAGAUAAACUGUCCGUGUAUAAGGAGCUAAAAGUCUGAGUUAUGGCUUUGGUGGCUCAGCAAAGGGCGGCGGGUUCAGGGGCUGCCAGGGAGAGUGAGGACGUGUGAGAGCUCAUCUUAGAAGACAAGUCAGAGACAGAAGUUCUCAGAGGUCCCAGCAUGGCCACCUUUGAAACUACAUUAGCCUCCCAGGGUAGGCAUCCUCUUCCAGGUACUGAGCAUGAUCCUCACUCACCAAACACAAUGGCUUCACAGGAGGGAGCCAUCACCUCCAUUAAGCCUAUCAGGAUGAGACACCCGCCUAUGACCACUGCCAGGGCUCUGGUGGCACAAGGUUCGGUGGGAAUCAUGUGUUCUCAACACCAAGCACUCAACACUUGUGCCAUGAGCAGCAUGCUCCAGCCAGAUCUUCGUGGACACCCAUCCCAGAAAUGAGCUGUGAGAGGGAACGAAAGGAUUGAGGGCAGACGUCAAUCACAGCAAACUCAGUCGGCAUCUGUUUUGUGACUGGCUGAGGAAGUGGGGGGUGGGAGGGUGGCAGAUGUCCAUGGAGCACCUUGGGUGAUAAGGGCGUUUUGGUUCUGUACUUCUUUUUCUUUUCCUAAUUAAUAAAAAUUCGCAUUUCCUUUG